rnacentral:rRNA from 1 species
GACGAACGCUGGCGGCGUGCUUAACACAUGCAAGUCGAACGGAAAGGCCCCUUUGGGGGUCCUCGAGUGGCGCACGGGUGAGUAACACGUGAGUAACCUGCCCUUGACUUCGGGAUAACUUCAGGAAACUGGGGCUAAUACCGGAUAGGAAUCCUUGCUGCAUGGUGGGGGUUGGAAAGCUUCGGCGGUUUUGGAUGGACUCGCGGCUUAUCAGCUUGUUGGUGGGGUAGUGGCUUACCAAGGCUUUGACGGGUAGCCGGCCUGAGAGGGCGACCGGCCACAUUGGGACUGGGAUACGGCCCAGACUCCUACGGGAGGCAGCAGUGGGGAAUAUUGAACAAUGGGCGGAAGCCUGAUGCAGCAACGCCGCGUGCGGGAUGACGGGCUUCGGGUUGUAAACCGCUUUCAGCAGGGGCGAAGCUUGUGGUGACGGUACCUGCAGAAGAAGCACCGGCUAACUACGUG